rnacentral:rRNA from 1 species
UCUUGAGCUCCACUAUUGAUGAGCCAGCGUUAGAUUAGCUNGUUGGUGGGGUAAUGGCCUACCAAGGCAACGAUCUAUAGCUGGUCUGAGAGGAUGAUCAGCCACACUGGGACUGAGACACGGCCCAGACUCCUACGGGAGGCAGCAGUGGGGAAUAUUGCGCAAUGGGCGAAAGCCUGANNCAGCCAUGCCGCGUGUGUGAAGAAGGCUCUAGGGUUGUAAAGCACUUUCAGUAGGGAGGAAAGGGUGUACGUUAAUACCGUGNAUCUGUGACGUACCUAUA